rnacentral:tRNA from 3 species
GCCGGAAUGGCGGAACGGCAGACGCGAAGCACUCAAAAUGCUUUGUCCUAUGGGCGUGUGGGUUCAAAUCCCACUUCCGGCACAA